AACAUGUGUGAAACAUCAAAGAUGAAAAACAAUGAACUGGAUGAAGAACAGUAAAAGCAAUGGGUACAAACUUAUGUCUUUCCUCGCACAUUUCUAUGCAUUUCUUCAAUGAAAAUGUCUCUCCUCUGGCUCUCACAUUUCACAUUUCCUCAAGUCCUUUGGCAGUUUUGCAGGUGAAAUUUUGAGAUGCUCUGUAAUUUACAAGAUAAAGAAGUCACUUCAUUCAACAAGAGCGAUUUUUUACUUUAAAUUUACAGAAAAUCAAUUGUAUAACUCAAUUUCUUAGAUGGAUCUUUUUUUUACACUGCAACUCUGCAAGUGCUAUUUUUUUAUGCAGGUCAUCUCAUUUAUCGUCGUC
rnacentral:lncRNA from 1 species